GUUGCAGCCUCAGAAUUCUUUACAAGGAAUUGUUGUUACAAUUCAGGAAUUCGGGACAUAAGCUGGUAAACCUUAAGUAUGCCAAACUGACCAGUGGUUUGGGGUAGCUGUAGUUUGGCAUCUCAUCUCACACAGAGCUGUUUUCUCUUCCUGCCAGAACUCAGGAUCAGGCACUAUUUUGCAAGCUGGCUAUCCAGUGUUAGCUGAUCUUGGAAAAUCCUGGAUAUGUCUCAAGGCCAUGUCAGAGGAACCCAGAUGUAAAUCCAUCUCCCAUAUCUGUGAACAUCUGAAUUCUAAAAACCAGAUGUAUUCAUUAACUGUCCAGAAUAUGAAAAAAUAAAACAACCCUCUGAUGGUGAUGAACCUGUUCUGCAAUAGGGACUGCUGUAAGGACAAAGCCAUUGACCCAGAGCACAUCACCAAACAGAUUAAUUACUGCUGGACACAGAACACUUGUCACUGCUACUCCAUCCAGUUAUCUAUGAGGGAUCUCCAGGAAGCCUGUCACAGGUAACAGCAGUUCUACUUUUUGGCUCAUAUUUGGUUCUGUACUCAGGUAACUACAUUUUCAGAAGAGCCUUCCCCACAGGGGUAUUCUGCUUCACUGCUGGAGGUGCUAGGUGUAAGUUGCUCCAGACUGCCCCAGGAAUUUUAUUUAACUCGCAAUUUAUUUGAAGUUGUCCUUUCUAAGAGCCGGGAUAAAUGCUCCAUAGAAUUUUAAUUUUAGGUCAGAUGUUUAGUUUUUCUGUCCUCUUCUCAUUACACAAGUGUGUAAAGAAACCAUUUGGGCAGAGUCAAGUAUAAAUAUGCUUUCUAAUCAUAACAUGCUUUCUUUAUAGCAGAGCUCAUGGAGGAGUGAAAGCAAUACUGCAUUAUGUCAAUAUGCUCUGGUGGUUUAUUUCAGAAAAAAAAAUGAACAGGAUUUACUUAAGAAAGAGUAGUCUCAGAAAAAAGUACCUGAAUCAAAGCAUUCACAAAUGCAUGUAUGAACUACAGUGGCUUGAUAAUAGACUAAUUUUACUUAAAUGAGGAAGCAAAAGCUCUAUUUAUGCAAUUCCCAAUGGUCUAGUCUAAUAAAUGACACAGAGAGACUGCCUAUUCUAAUUUCUUUAGUGUCUGGCUUUUGUUAUUAAAGAGCAUGUGUUUUCAGAGCAAGUGUUACCUUAAGUCUGCUUCAGUGAAGAGAUAAGUGCCACACGUUGGCUAAAUACAUAGGAGCAGAUUCCUUAAGAGACCUCGCAGCCUAGGGAAAAAAAAAAAAAAAAAGACUCAUUUAGUUUACCGUGAAGAGGCAUCCAUAGAAGCAGAAGAGGCAUGUUUAGUCUUGUCUGAGACAUUUGCUUUCCCUACUCUAAAUCUUCCCCAAAUGCAAGAAGAAAUAUAUGAUUUAAUACUGAUAACUUGUGCUCACAGGAGCUUUGGCAUUAGUGAAAAUGAAGUGCUCUGUUGAAGGCACUAGUUUCUUGAGACUGAAGGGGAAGGAAGGAUUCAAUGUCAUUUCUCUUCCUGAAGCACAGUAUGGAGCUCACCUGAAGAACUGUGAGUACUAGUUACCCCCCCACGGAGCAAAGGUAUGCCAUUUCCAAAAUUAGUGCUUCCCUUCACACAGAAUUAGUCUUCUGGGAAUUAUUUUCCUCCCUUCCUCACUGGCACGCAUAGCAAAUAUUUUAACCUUGAAACAUCUUUUUGUCUUUCCUAUGCCUCGGUGAAAAUUAGCCUUGGAAUCCUAGCCCUCAUCUGUGAGGCUGAGGAGACAGUGGUGAUAGCGUCUUGAUUUCAUAGAGUAAUUUCACCAAGGCUGACUAAUGCACAGCCCCAGCUGCACAGGAACAUCCAGAGUGGUCAGUCUCCCUGAGAAGUCUCCCCAAAAGUGAAUCCUUUAGCUAUUUUCAGUGCUGGCAAAGAGACUCCUUGCCUGCUGGGUAUUGGGGGCCACCACCAGGGUUGGCCUCAGUGAGGAAGCUGUGUCCUUCUAGAGAUGCUGCUCCUGACUAACAUAGGUGUCAACACAGGUCAAAACCCAUCCUUGCUGCCUGGUCCAGGCAGAACCCUUUUGCUGUCGGGAAGAACUCAGCCAUCAAACUGUAGCAGUACUGUGGUCUCUGGAAGCUAGAUCCCCCAAAAGGAGCCAUGACAACAGCUGCUGCUUUACCUUCUU